CCUCCUUCUGGUGUUUUGUGGUGAGCCUAGCAUGAGGGAACCUCCUGUCCCACGACCUAUAGAGGCUCAAGGACUCAGGGGAUGUGACCCAUUGCUGUCCCACUCCUCAUCCCUCCUGCAUGGAAGACCUGUCAUGCUCCAGGAUGCUUCCAGGCAGAAUAUGAUCCACGGGCAGAGCUGUUCUGGGUUCCACAGGGAUGGGUGCAUGGUGAGCAGACUCCAGCUUUGUUCAUCCCUUGCAUUGGGACAGAGGCCGCUCUGGGUUGCAAUUCAAGGUGCAUGGACUGGGAGGAGUGCAAGAGGAAUGGGGAGAUACUGGAGGCUCCCUUGGCCAGGCAGGAUCCCACAGUGCCCAGCAGCAAAGCAGCCUUCCUGCAGGAGCAAGAGGAGCAACGCUGUCUGCGGAUUAAGUCUGGCUCUCUCUUGCCGCCUUAGCAUUUCUUUUAUCAAGGGGAUUUGUUGCUUGGUGAAAUAUAUUUUGAAUUUUCUCGGUGCUGUUUUUACAUUUUGGAAGCUGAAAGGGAACGGGAUUGUGAAGUGCUGCCCUGUGUCUGCCCCAGAGCCACAGUGUGCCACAGUGCAGCACAGCCCUCCUGCUUAAUGCGUUCCCCCUCAGAAAGCUGCCUGUCAUCUCAUUAUAUCAAUAGUGAUUAAGAGAGGAAACUGGCAGUUAAUCCUCUGCAAGGUAUUUUGAUGAUUAAAUUGAGAGCAUCUGGCUGUUUAUUAAGUUUGGCUCUGGACAGAUCAAAGGGGGAACAGUGGAGAGGUGACUCCCAUCUCCACCACCCAAGGAGGGUACGGCCACACAGUCCCCUUCCCCAUUCAAGUUCAGCUUUCCACGUGGUUUGCUCUGAAAAAGAACGUGCAGGAAAAAAGAAAUGGAGCCGUGACAAUCAAGUUUCCAUCAGCCCAAGUUAAACAGGUUUUGACGCUUCGGGACUUUCCUGAUAAUUAAAAGCAAAGUAAUGGCUCGUUGCUGGUGAGAACUGGUUCUGUUGCUCAGCCUUAGCAAAACCCCAGGCAGCAGUGCGAGGGUCGAGCAUGGGGAGAGUCCUCCCCAGCCACACUGAUGCUGACAGGGAGAUGUCACCAAUGUGGUGCCCACUGCAAGAGGAGGGCAGGGCUGGGGGGCACGCUGAUGGCAGAGGGACCUGCAGGUGUCAGCGAGGCAGCAUCACUGCUGGCACGUGGUUGCCAUGGCGAUGCAUUGCUGCAGAGCCCCGAGCUGAUGAUUAUUGUUAUUUAUUAUUUUAAUCUGGCCCUCAUCCUGCUGUGGGG